GACGAACGCUGGCGGCGUGCUUAACACAUGCAAGUCGAACGGAAAGGCCCUGCUUUUGUGGGGUGCUCGAGUGGCGAACGGGUGAGUAACACGUGAGUAACCUGCCCUUGACUUUGGGAUAACUUCAGGAAACUGGGGCUAAUACCGGAUAGGAGCUCCUGCUGCAUGGUGGGGGUUGGAGAGUUUCGGCGGUUGGGGAUGGACUCGCGGCUUAUCAGCUUGUUGGUGGGGUAGUGGCUUACCAAGGCUUUGACGGGUAGCCGGCCUGAGAGGGUGACCGGCCACAUUGGGACUGAGAUACGGCCCAGACUCCUACGGGAGGCAGCAGUGGGGAAUAUUGCACAAUGGGCGGAAGCCUGAUGCAGCAACGCCGCGUGCGGGAUGACGGCCUUCGGGUUGUAAACCGCUUUCGCCUGUGACGAAGCGUGAGUGACAGUAAUGGGUAAAGAAGCACCGGCUAACUACGUG
rnacentral:rRNA from 1 species